GGUUGAGAGAGUAUGACUUGUCUAAGCUCAUCCAGUGGGUUCCCAUGGCCUAGCAAGGAUUCAAAUCCUGAGCUGUAGUACAAUGCUCAGAAUAUUACAUCACAAUAGGAUGGAUUUUACAAUUUAUAUAGGGGCCAGGCUUAGCAUGGCAGACUAAACCACUGUGUUGCAGAAAGAUUCUGCCCAUUGAAAGCUUGGCAGUUCUAUCCUGGGUCGGGGUGACCAUCCGCCAUUAACCCCAGCUCACCUGCCCACCUAGCAGGUUGAAAGCAGAAAUGAGUGAAUUAAGGCAAGUCGCUUCUGGAGUGAGAGAAUCAGCUGUCUUCAGACACAUCGCCUGGGGGAUGUCCGGAUGUGUUACCACCCUGCGGAGGGCCUUUCUCAUGUCCUCUCAUGAAGCUAGGGCUGACAGAUGGGAGCUCACCUCAUCCCGCAGAUGCAAACCGCCAAUCUUUAGGUCAGGAGUUCAGCUUGCACAAAGGUUCAACUCAUUCUGCCACCACAGCUCCUAUAGGAAUAAGAAAUAAUUGAGAACAAAAGUAGGAGUGUUCCCUUUGGAUGCAGAGAAGAUUUUUGAUAUAAUCAUCUAGCCCCAUCUUGUCUGCAUCCUGAAUAAAAGCGGCUCUCCUAAAAUA